rnacentral:miRNA from 1 species
GUGCCAUCAUACCCAGCUCAGUUAAAUGUUAAUUAGAGCUGGGUGUGGUGGUGCAUGC